rnacentral:tRNA from 1 species
GGACGAAUAGCUCCAAGGGUAGAGCGCCGGUUUGAAGCACCGGGUGUGCUGGUUCGAAUCCGGCUUCGUCCA